AAGGGCAUGAAGAUCAUUGACGAUUUUUGAAAAUCGUUCAAACAUGUCAUCUAUUUUCUCACCUUCCUUCAUGUGAAACAAUUCAUACUCGUGAGUUAAGAAAUCAAUUUUUGCUUCACGUACCUGGUCUGUUCCUUCGUAUGUGAUUUCGAGCUUAUCCCACAUUUGUUUUGCGGUUGUGCAGCAUGAUAUUUUCCGAUAGUCAUCAGGAUUUACUGCGCAGUACAACAUAUUAAUUGCCUUUGCGUUGUUCUCUACCUUUCUUAUAUCAUCCGCAUCAUACUCCUCUUCUAAUUUUGGGAUGAG
rnacentral:lncRNA from 1 species